GGUGAACGCUGGCGGUAGGCCUAACACAUGCAAGUCGAACGGCAGCACAGUAAGAGCUUGCUCUUACGGGUGGCGAGUGGCGGACGGGUGAGGAAUACAUCACCAUCUUCUUUUUCGUGGGGGAUAACGUAGGGAAACUUACGCUAAUACCGCAUACGACCUACGGGUGAGAGCAGGGGAUCUUCGGACCUUGCGCGAUUGAAUUAGCCGAUGUCGGAUUAGCUAGUUGGCGAGGUAAAGGCCCACCAAGGCGACGAUCCGUAGCGGGUCUGAGAGGAUGAUCAGCCACACUGGAACUGAGACACGGUCCAGACUCCUACGGGAGGCAGCAGUGGGGAAUAUUGGACAAUGGGCGCAAGCCUGAUCCAGCCAUACCGCGUGAGUGAAGAAGGCCUUCGGGUUGUAAAGCCCUUUUGUUGGGAAAGAAAAGCAGCAGGUUAAUACCCCGCUGUUCUGACGGUACCCAAAGAAUAAGCACCGGCUAACUUCGUG
rnacentral:rRNA from 1 species